rnacentral:snoRNA from 1 species
CAUUAGAAUGCAAUCUUCUGAAGGAGUCCCUUGCCAUUCAGUGUUGCAGACCAUGAUGCUUCUUGUGAUUGGUCUGUGUCAGAGUUAUGGAUACAUGU